GACGAACGCUGGCGGCGUGCCUAAUACAUGCAAGUCGAGCGGACUUAAAAAGCUUGCUUUUUAAGUUAGCGGCGGACGGGUGAGUAACACGUGGGCAACCUGCCUGUAAGACUGGGAUAACUUCGGGAAACCGGAGCUAAUACCGGAUAAUCCUUUUCUACUCAUGUAGAAAAGCUGAAAGACGGUUUACGCUGUCACUUACAGAUGGGCCCGCGGCGCAUUAGCUAGUUGGUGAGGUAACGGCUCACCAAGGCGACGAUGCGUAGCCGACCUGAGAGGGUGAUCGGCCACACUGGGACUGAGACACGGCCCAGACUCCUACGGGAGGCAGCAGUAGGGAAUCUUCCGCAAUGGACGAAAGUCUGACGGAGCAACGCCGCGUGAGUGAUGAAGGUUUUCGGAUCGUAAAACUCUGUUGUUAGGGAAGAACAAGUACGAGAGUAACUGCUCGUACCUUGACGGUACCUAACCAGAAAGCCACGGCUAACUACGUGCCAGCCGCCGCCGUAAA
rnacentral:rRNA from 1 species